UUGGAGGGCAAGUCUGGUGCCAGCAGCCGCGGUAAUUCCAGCUCCAAUAGCGUAUAUUAAAGUUGUUGCAGUUAAAAAGCUCGUAGUUGAAUUUCGGGGUUCUACCGUUGGUCGGGCUUUGUCUGUACUGGUGUGUAGAAUUUCUACCUUCUGGGGAACCAUCAUGCUAUUAAUUUAGCGUGGUGGGAAACCAGGACCUUUACCUUGAAAAAAUUAGUGUGUUCAAAGCAGGCUUAUGUCUGAAUACAUUAGCGUGGAAUAAUAGAAUAGGACGGUGGUCCUGUUUUGUUGGUUUCUGAAUCACCGUAAUGAUUAAUAGGGAUAGUUGGGGGCAUUAGUAUUCAAUUGUCAGAGGUGAAAUUCUUGGAUUUAUUGAAGACUAACUUCUGCGAAAGCAUUUGCCAAGGAUGUUUUCAUUAAUCAAGAACGAAAGUUAGGGGAUCGAAGGCGAUCAGAUACCGUCGUAGUCUUAACCAUAAACUAUGCCGACUAGGGAUCGGACGAUGUUAAUUUUUCUUGACUCGUUCGGCGCCUUACGGGAAAC
rnacentral:rRNA from 1 species